AAAAAAUUUGGGUUUGUAUAAUGGUAUGAUAUAAACUCAUCAUAGAUUAAAACCAACAGUCUAAUCUUUAUAAAAAAAUUUAGAAACAAGAUACAUGUAUAAACACCAUAAACAAACUACAACUACUGUACAUCAGAUUCCUGUAUGGAUCUCUCUGACAUUGUUCCACAAGGUUCCAUAUCACAAAGGGAAGCUAAUAUUGGGUUUGGGGGCAAUUGCACCUAGGGG
rnacentral:lncRNA from 1 species